AUUGAACGCUGGCGGCAUGCCUAACACAUGCGAGUCGAACGGCAGCACGAUCUAGUUUACUAGAUGGGUGGCGAGUGGCGGACGGGUGAGUAAUGCGCAGGAAUAUACCUUAAAGAGGGGGAUAACUUGGGGAAACUCAAGCUAAUACCGCAUAAGCUCUGAGGAGAGAGGCUGGGGACCUUCGGGCCUGGCGCUUUAAGAUUAGCCUGCGUCCGAUUAGCUAGUUGGUAGGGUAAAGGCCUACCAAGGCGACGAUCGGUAGCUGGUCUGAGAGGAUGACCAGCCACACUGGAACUGAGACACGGUCCAGACUCCUACGGGAGGCAGCAGUGGGGAAUAUUGGACAAUGGGGGCAACCCUGAUCCAGCAAUGCCGCGUGUGUGAAGAAGGCCUGAGGGUUGUAAAGCACUUUCAGUGGGGAGGAGGGUUAUUCGGUUAAGAGCUAGAUAAUUGGACGUUACCCACAGAAGAAGCACCGGCUAACUCCGUGCCAGCCGCCGCCGUAA
rnacentral:rRNA from 1 species